UACGUAGGGGGCAAGCGUCGUCCGGAAUCAUUGGGCGUAAAGCGCGUGUAGGCGGCCAGAAAAGUCCGCUGUGAAAACUCGAGGCUCAACUUCGAGCUGUCGGUGGAAACUUUCUGGCUAGAGUCCGGAAGAGGAGAAUGGAAUUCCUGGUGUAGCGGUGAAAUGCGCAGAUAUCAGGAAGAACACCCGUGGCGAAGGCGGUUCUCUGGGACGGUACUGACGCUGAGACGCGAAAGCGUGGGGAGCGAACAGG
rnacentral:rRNA from 1 species